rnacentral:rRNA from 1 species
AGUGAACGCUGGCGGCAGGCCUAACACAUGCAAGUCGAGCGGCAGCGCGGGGGCAACCCUGGCGGCGAGCGGCGGACGGGUGAGGAAUUCGUCGGAAUCUGCCUUUUUGUGGGGGAUAACGUAGGGAAACUUACGCUAAUACCGCAUACGUCCUACGGGAGAAAGUGGGGGACCGCAAGGCCUCACGCAGAAAGAUGAGCCGACGACCGAUUAGCUAGUUGGUGGGGUAAAGGCCCACCAAGGCGACGAUCGGUAGCUGGUCUGAGAGGAUGAUCAGCCACACUGGGACUGAGACACGGCCCAGACUCCUACGGGAGGCAGCAGUGGGGAAUAUUGGACAAUGGGCGCAAGCCUGAUCCAGCCAUGCCGCGUGUGUGAAGAAGGCCUUCGGGUUGUAAAGCACUUUUGUCCGGAAAGAAAUCCCUGGAGCUAAUACCUUCGGGGGAUGACGGUACCGGAAGAAUAAGCACCGGCUAACUUCGUA